rnacentral:lncRNA from 1 species
CGGAGUAGGGGGAAGGAUGGUAGGGGAGAGGGAAAGAAUCAGAGUAGGGGAAGAGGGUUAGUAAAGCAACGAUGUGAAGGGGGAAGGGAAAUCAUAAGAGUAGGAGGAGGGAUGGUAAGGAAAAGGGAGAGGGAUGGGAAAUGGGGAUGGAAAAUGAAAAUCUGUAACGGAAUCUACUUUGAUGGGAGUUCCAGCAGAAAAGUGCAGUUGAUGGAAUCUACUUUGAAGAGAAUGAUGAGGUCUCUCUCUGAUUUUUUCAUCUCCAUGAACUUCAAUCUCUCUCUCUCUCUAUAUAUGUAUAUAAACAACAUCAUCCCUCACCAUUCCUGCUUUUAACUUGUGCAGUAUGCUCCUGUGGUUGAGAUGUUGGAUGAGCCGAGCGGUAGCGAACCCACAUCUUAGAUAGUUACAUCAUGUCUUAUUAUUUUUUGUUAAUACAUUAACGGCUGUGAGGGUAGUUUUCAACUUUGGAAAUAGCAAGUCUGUGGUAUAUCAGCCUAUAGGAUCAGAGGUAAACAACACUUGAAAUUAAUUCCAUGUAUAAAUCAAUUAUCUAAACUACAAUGAACUUCCAAUCUUGUCUCAAAAUUGUGUGACCAUGGACUGGGACAUAUGCUUAAUUUAAGCCCUGAAAUGCAGUGUUCGAUAGAUACAGC